GUCUUAUAGUCAUUGGAUGAUUUUAAAUUGCAAAUUUAAAGGUGAAUAAAUUCUAAGGCUUA
rnacentral:tRNA from 1 species